UGGACGUGUUGUUGAUCCAUUCCGCAGCCGCUUAGAUCCUGAAAUGGUUCAAGCUUUGAUAUGCAUGAAGGAUUGGGUUGCUGCAGGAAGAAGAGGUAAGAGGGUUGGUUCAAUUGUUGGUGACCUUGAAGUUAUAGAGGUCCUUGCAGAAAAGCUGAAGCGUGAGGAUGAUGAUGUCGCAGAUAGUGAUGGAGAAG